AUACGGAGGGGGUUAGCGUUGUUCGGAAUUACUGGGCGUAAAGCGCACGUAGGCGGAUUGGAAAGUUGGGGGUGAAAUCCCAGGGCUCAACCCUGGAACUGCCUCCAAAACUUCCAAUCUAGAGAUCGAGAGAGGUGAGUGGAAUUCCAAGUGUAGAGGUGAAAUUCGUAGAUAUUUGGAGGAACACCAGUGGCGAAGGCGGCUCACUGGCUCGAUACUGACGCUGAGGUGCGAAAGCGUGGGGAGCAAACAGGAUUAGAAACCCGAGUAGUCC
rnacentral:rRNA from 1 species